rnacentral:rRNA from 1 species
UACGAAGGGGGCUAGCGUUGCUCGGAAUCACUGGGCGUAAAGCGCACGUAGGCGGAUUGCUAAGUCAGGGGUGAAAUCCUGGAGCUCAACUCCAGAACUGCCUUUGAUACUGGCGAUCUUGAGUCCGGGAGAGGUGAGUGGAACUGCGAGUGUAGAGGUGAAAUUCGUAGAUAUUCGCAAGAACACCAGUGGCGAAGGCGGCUCACUGGCCCGGUACUGACGCUGAGGUGCGAAAGCGUUGGGGAGCAAACAGG